GUGGCAGCGGCCGUCAGCGAAGGAGGACGUGUUGCUCUGUUCUUCCGUGGCCCUGCGUGGCACCAGCUGGCUCGCCGCGGCCCUCCUGAGUGGCACUGACAGACAGACAGUGAGUAAAAUAGAAAAAAAAGAAAAUAGGAUAAACAAAGGAAUAAAUAGACGAAGAUUAAUUUAGUGUGUGAUUAAUCAAGAAAAUGAAAAAAAAAUGACGAAGAAAGCUUAGAAAACAAGAAAAAAAUUGAAUGAUGAAAUAAAUAGGCGAUAAAAUUAAAGUGCUUUGUGUAAUUAUAGUUGAAAAUUAUAAAUAAACCGAAAAAUAAAGAAAUAAACAAAUAAAAGUUGAAAAAAAUAAUGUUGAUUGAUAAAGAAACGAAAAGUGACAAAGAAAAGAGAGAAUUAGGAAAGAAAGAAAAGAAAUUAAGUGGAUGAAGGAUAAUGUUUGAUAAUUAAGGAAAGAAAGAUAAGGAAUGAAAGAGAAGAAAUUAAAAAUGAACAUAAACGUAUAGAAGAGGAGAAAGAGGAAUAGAAAAAAAGGAGAAGAGAGAUAAAGAGAUAAGUGUGAUAGAUAAACAAAAGCAAGAUAGUAAAUAAAGAGAAAAAUAGCAGAUAAAUUGAUAAAUAUAGAUAGAUAAGAAUAGGAAAUAGAAAAGAGAAAAGAUAAUUAAGAAAAGUGCAAAGAAAAGAAAACAACAACGAAAGUGAGUAAUUAGCGAAUUUAAGACAAGAAAAUUAAGAAAGGGUGAAAACUGAGAGACAGUUUAAUAAAGAGAGAAAAAAAAGCAGAAAAGAAAAGAAGGCAAAGAUAGAGAAAUAAAAAUGAAAAGAACACCAAAAACGAAUAAUCAAUAAAAGAAAAGAAAAAAAGAGAAAUGAUAGAAAAAUAAAAAAAGAAAAUGAUCAAAACGAAAGAAAAUGAAACAGUGGAAAUUAAAUAGAUAACUGAUUAAGACAAGAAGACAAAGAAGAGAACAGAAAAAAAAUA